rnacentral:lncRNA from 1 species
AAACCGACAUUUUUAGUACUGUAUUUUUUUAACCUUGGCUAGUAUAAAAAAUAAAUCAAUGCCUACAUUCAGCCCACAUUCAUAAAGGUCCAUUCAAAAUUGGCUAAUUUAUUUGGCAAUGUCCGGUUGAGAUAUAACUAGAUCUAUGUAAUUAGAAAUUUUCAUUUUCUAUUAAAAUACAGGAAGGUGGAUAGUUUUGUUGAUGUGUGUUGUAGAGGAAAAAACGUUGGACCUACCUGCUCUUCACAACCCAUAACGCUCGAGUAACUGCAAAUUUAGCAUACUUUCCUCCCCUACUAUUUUUGAGUUAUGUCACGUUUCUUCCGGGCGGAUGAUUUGCUGAUUUUGAAUUUUUAAUUAGGUAUGACAUUUCGACAAAUCAGAAAGGAAGAACGUAUCCGACAGGGCAGAAUGGUAGAACAUUGUUAGACAGGCCAAGACUCACAAAGAAGACUCACAUUAGAAGAAGAAGAAGAAAAAGGUAUUGCAAUGAUUUUUGUUUAUUUUAUUUCUGGCAAUACGAAGCAAUUAUAGUGUACAACGACAUAAAUAAACAAUUUAACUACAGUGACUAACAUUCUUUACUAAAAAUACAUAGAUAAAUAUUUUGGAGAUCCAAAAUAAUUAAUCAAAUAUUUGAACAGGAAGUUAAUGGAUAACCUUUGUAUUUGCACCGCUAGGCGCGAGACAUUCAAGUGAGUCAUAGAAUGAAAUUCGCAAAAUGAUACGGUUUUACCUAUUCUCAACGUUUUACGUGAGUAAGUGGUUCCACGGAAUCUUUUCCAUCAAGGUAAAAGAAGAUGAGAUAUAAUUGCUGAAACCGGUUUGUAAUUAUUAAGCGUACAUUCAUGUUGUACUGAUUAAAUUCUAUCAUUUUUUAAUUA